UACGGGGGGGGCAAGCGUUGUUCGGAAUUACUGGGCGUAAAGGGCUCGUAGGCGGCCAACUAAGUCAGACGUGAAAUCCCUCGGCUUAACCGGGGAACUGCUUCUGAUACUGGAUGGCUUGAGUUCGGGAGAGGGAUGCGGAAUUCCAGGUGUAGCGGUGAAAUGCGUAGAUAUCUGGAGGAACACCGGUGGCGAAGGCGGCAUCCUGGACCGACACUGACGCUGAGGAGCGAAAGCCAGGGGAGCAAACGGG
rnacentral:rRNA from 1 species